GUCCAAAUGUGGAAGACCUGGAGCCCGAUCCCAGAGGAUAGACCUCUCUGAGCUUCUGUGUCCUUAUCUUUACAAAGGAGAUUGCCUUGUUUCACAGGGUUGUUGGGAGAAUCAAUUAGAAACAUGGAAUUGAAAGCACUUUCUAAAAUAUUAGUUUAGGAUUUGGAAAUAGAUAAACUUAGACAAGCCCUAGUUCUACUUACCAGCUGUUAUUCAUUCUUGUUAGGCUUCAUUUUCUUCAUCAGCAAAAUGGGUAUAAUUAUAUAUAACUCAUACCAACUUUAGAGGGUUUUGAUGGGAAUUAGAAACUAUGAAUGCAG
rnacentral:lncRNA from 10 species